UGGGGAAUUUUGGACAAUGGGCGAAAGCCUGAUCCAGCAAUGCCGCGUGUGUGAAGAAGGCCUUCGGGUUGUAAAGCACUUUUGUCCGGAAAGAAAUCCUUGGCUCUAAUACAGUCGGGGGAUGACGGUACCGGAAGAAUAAGCACCGGCUAACUACGUGCCAGCAGCCGCGGUAAUACGUAGGGUGCAAGCGUUAAUCGGAAUUACUGGGCGUAAAGCGUGCGCAGGCGGUUUGCUAAGACCGAUGUGAAAUCCCCGGGCUCAACCUGGGAACUGCAUUGGUGACUGGCAGGCUAGAGUAUGGCAGAGGGGGGUAGAAUUCCACGUGUAGCAGUGAAAUGCGUAGAGAUGUGGAGGAAUACCGAUGGCGAAGGCAGCCCCCUGGGCCAAUACUGACGCUCAUACAA
rnacentral:rRNA from 1 species